rnacentral:rRNA from 1 species
UACAGAGGUGGCAAGCGUUGUUCGGAAUUACUGGGCGUAAAGGGCUCGUAGGCGGCCAACUAAGUCAGACGUGAAAUCCCCCGGCUUAACCGGGGAACUGCGUCUGAUACUGGAUGGCUAGAGGUUGGGAGAGGGAUGCGGAAUUCCAGGUGUAGCGGUGAAAUGCGUAGAUAUCUGGAGGAACACCGGUGGCGAAGGCGGCAUCCUGGACCGGUAUUGACGCUGAGGAGCGAAAGCUAGGGGAGCAAACGGG